AUGCAAACACUAGGCAGCAAAAUGGGACCUUUGUUCUACCUCUGCAUGGUGCUCAUGCUGCCAUGCCUCCUUCCACUGCAAGAAGCACAUGCCGUGCGCCAUGGAGGGAUCUCUCUGAGGUCUCAACACAUGGCCCUCCUCCACUGGAAAGCAACACUUGCAAGCCCACCGCUGCAGAUGAGUUCUUGGCAGGAAAACACCAGCCCCUGCAACUGGACGGGCAUCAUGUGCACGGCUAUUCCACAUGGCCGCCGCAUGCCCUGGGUGGUGACCAACAUCUCCCUGCCAGAUGCUGGCAUCCAUGGCCAGCUUGGUGAGCUCAACUUCUCAGCUCUUCCAUUCCUCACAUAUAUUGACCUUCAUAACAAUAGUCUCCAUGGUGCACUACCCGCUAGUAUCAGCUCCCUGUCUGCACUUUCGAAACUUACCCUUCAGCAGAACCAGUUCUCAGGGAAAAUUCCUCAUGAGAUUGGUGACCUGCAAAGUCUCAUGUUGCUUGCUCUCUCAUUCAACAGACUCACGGGACAUAUCCCUGCGUCUCUGGGUAACCUAACAAUGUUAACUGAACUUGUCAUUCACCAAAACAUGAUAUCAGGUCCCAUUCCCGAGGACAUUGGAAGGCUUGUCAACCUACAACUUCUGCAGCUAAGCAACAACACCAUAAGCGGCAUGAUACCAAAAAUCGUUGGAAAUAUGACCCAACUGAAUGUUUUGGACCUGUAUGGUAAUCAACUUUCAGGGCCUAUACCCCAAGAACUAGGCACGCUAGUCCAUCUACGAAGUCUUGAUCUUAGUUCAAAUGAUUUUUCAGGUCCAAUUCCAAUCUCCAUAAGCAAUCUCACUAAGAUGAACCGACUUUUUCUCCAUGAAAAUCAAAUCAUAGGUCUAAUACCACCAGAACUAGGCAACCUCGCCAUGCUAAGCCAACUUGCUCUCUGCACAAAUCAAAUAACAGGUUCAAUACCCCCAGAACUAGGGAAUCUCACUAUGCUCAAUCUACUUGUUCUAUAUAGAAAUCAAAUUACAGGCCCAAUACCUUUAGAAUUGGGCCACUUGCUGAAUCUCCAGGAUUUAGAAUUGGAUGAGAACCAAAUAUCUGGCUCUAUUCCUGGCAGCUUAGGAAAUAUAACCAAGCUAGUACGACUUGCCCUCGCUACAAAUCAGAUAAGCGGUUCCAUCCCCCAGGAAAUUGGCAAUCUGAUGAACCUAAAAUAUUUAUCCUUGCCUCAGAACCAAAUUAUAGGUUCAAUACCAAAAACUUUUGGGAAGUUGCAAAGUAUCCAAUCAAUAAAACUCUUUGAUAACAAAUUAUCAGGUGCUCUUCCUAAAGAAUUAGGAGAUCUCACCAACCUUGUUGAACUUGCAGUGUCUAACAACUCACUUUCAGGACCUUUACCCACAAAUAUAUGUUCAGGUGGGAGACUUCAACAUCUCACUGUUCAUUAUAAUAUGUUUAGUGGACCCAUUCCAAGGAGUUUAAAGACAUGUACGAGUUUGGUUAAAAUUAUCCUUCAGAAAACCCAACUAACAGGAGAUAUAUCUCACGAUUUCGGUGUGUAUCCACAACUCAUAUGGAUGAUCUUGUCAUCGACUAGACUCUCUGGGCAGAUCCCACAAAGUUUAGGUGCAUGUACCCAACUAACGGUACUACAUCUCCAAAAAAAUAACAUCACUGGUUCCAUACCUCCAAUCCUUUCAAAAUUGUCCAGACUAGAAGAACUAAGACUCGACUCUAAUCAUCUCAGUGGUGAGAUUCCACCAGAAAUCUACACUUUAGCAAACCUAUAUGGACUGAACUUGUCAUCAAACCAACUAUCUGGAUCCAUACCUACACAGAUAGAAAAGCUUGGCAAUCUAGGAUACCUUGAUAUAUCUAUGAAUAAACUGAGUGGAUCAAUACCUGAGGAACUAGGGACCAUGAAACUACAGUCCUUGAAGAUCAACAACAACAACUUCAGUGGGAGUUUGCCAGAUGCGAUUGGAAAUUUAGCAGGCCUACAGACCAUGUUAGAUGUCAGCAACAAUAAUCUCAGUGGUGUGUUGCCGCAACAACUUGGGAAGUUGGAGAUGCUAGAAUUUCUGAAUUUAUCACAUAAUCAGUUUGGUGGCAGCAUUCCAUCCUCCUUCUCAAGCAUGUUGAGCCUUUCAACACUCGAUGUGUCGUACAAUGACUUGGAAGGACCAGUACCAACAACACGGCUACUCCAAAAUGCUUCAACAAGUUGGUUUCUUCACAAUAAAGGUCUAUGCGGUAACCUCUCUGGCUUGCCUCCUUGUUAUUCAACUCCAGUAGCUGGUCACCAUAAACGAAAGAUACUUGGUUUGCUUUUGCCAAUUCUUCUUGUUGUGGGUUUGAGCAUUGUUGCUGCAGUUGUUGUCAUAAUAAUGCUUAAUCGUAACAAGAGAAAACCUCAAGAAAAUGUUACUUCUCAAGGAAGGGACCUAUUCUCUGUUUGGAAUUUUGAUGGAAGAUUAGCAUUUGACGACAUUGUAAGGGCAACAGAGGACUUCGAUGAUAAGUACAUCAUUGGAACAGGAGGAUACGGCAAAGUCUAUAAGGCACGACUCCAAGACGGGCAGCUAGUUGCUGUAAAGAAGCUUUAUCAGACUGAAGAAGAGUUGGAUGACCAGAGAAGGUUUCACAGUGAAAUGGAAAUCUUAUCACAGAUCCGACAACGAAGUAUUGUCAAAAUGUAUGGAUUCUGCUCCCAUCCAGCAUAUAAAUUUCUUGUCUAUGACUACAUUCAGCAGGGAAGCCUGCACAGGACAUUGGAAAAUGAGGAACUAGCAACGGAACUAGAUUGGCACAAGAGAAUUGCUCUUGCAAAUGAUGUGGCUCAAGCAAUAUCUUAUUUGCACCACGAAUGCAGUCCACCUAUAAUCCAUCGAGAUAUCACGAGCAACAACAUCUUACUUGAUACAACCUUCAAGGCUUUUGUCUCGGAUUUCGGCACAGCAAGGAUUCUUAAGCCCGAUUCAUCAAACUGGAGUGCACUUGCAGGAACGUAUGGCUACAUAGCUCCUGAAUUGUCGUACACAUCUGUUGUGACAGAGAAAUGCGAUGUCUAUAGCUUUGGAGUGGUUGUGCUAGAGCUAGUGAUGGGGAAGCAUCCAAGAGAUCUAUUAGAUGUUACUUUCUCAAACGGAGAACAAGUCAUACUGGUGAAAGAUAUCCUGGAUCAACGACUGACAACACCAACAACAGAAGAGAAUAGGUUAUCUCUGCUCGUCAAGCUGGCCUUUUCUUGCUUGGAAUCUUCUCCACAAGCAAGGCCAAGCAUGCGGGAGGCAUACCAAAUGCUCAUGGAGCGACCCUCCUCCAGUUCAUGUUCUGUGCCUUUCAGCGCACUUACGUUACAACAAGUAAGGAUGAGUUGA
rnacentral:rRNA from 1 species